AAUAGAUCCUCCCUUACUAACCAGCUGUUUGCUGCUUUGGUGUCUAUAAAGUGUUUCUGAAGGGCAUGUGGGUGUCUGCAAUGGAGUUCCUUUCUACUCCAGGAUGUUUUCUUGUAUGUGUGCAGUGUUGUCUAUUGGGUUUGGAGUGUUGUUCUGUAGAUUUAAUGGUGUCAUGUUUAUAUCUGUCAAGACUAUAGUUUUGUGUAGUUGUGAUGUAUGUUGUUUUUUAUGGAAGAACUCUCUCAAACUACAGAUCUGUCUGUCGUGUAAAUGUAGAAUAUCAAUAAGGCCAUGUCCUUCUUCUUUGAGUGGGAGAGUAGUUCUUUCUAUGGCAGAUUUUAGGUGAUGGUACUGGUAGUG
rnacentral:lncRNA from 1 species